AGUCGAGCGGUAGAGAGAAGCUUGCUUCUCUUGAGAGCGGCGGACGGGUGAGUAAUGCCUAGGAAUCUGCCUGGUAGUGGGGGAUAACGUUCGGAAACGGACGCUAAUACCGCAUACGUCCUACGGGAGAAAGCAGGGGACCUUCGGGCCUUGCGCUAUCAGAUGAGCCUAGGUCGGAUUAGCUAGUUGGUGGGGUAAUGGCUCACCAAGGCGACGAUCCGUAACUGGUCUGAGAGGAUGAUCAGUCACACUGGAACUGAGACACGGUCCAGACUCCUACGGGAGGCAGCAGUGGGGAAUAUUGGACAAUGGGCGAAAGCCUGAUCCAGCCAUGCCGCGUGUGUGAAGAAGGUCUUCGGAUUGUAAAGCACUUUAAGUUGGGAGGAAGGGCAGUUGCCUAAUACGUAACUGUUUUGACGUUACCGACAGAAUAAGCACCGGCUAACUCUGUGCCAGCAGCCGCGGUAAUACAGAGGGUGCAAGCGUUAAUCGGAAUUACUGGGCGUAAAGCGCGCGUAGGUGGUUUGUUAAGUUGGAUGUGAAAUCCCCGGGCUCAACCUGGGAACUGCAUUCAAAACUGACUGACUAGAGUAUGGUAGAGGGUGGUGGAAUUUCCUGUGUAGCGGUGAAAUGCGUAGAUAUAGGAAGGAACACCAGUGGCGAAGGCGACCACCUGGACUAAUACUGACACUGAGGUGCGAAAGCGUGGGGAGCAAACAGGAUUAGAUACCCUGGUAGUCCACGCCGUAAACGAUGUCAACUAGCCGUUGGGAGCCUUGAGCUCUUAGUGGCGCAGCUAACGCAUUAAGUUGACCGCCUGGGGAGUACGGCCGCAAGGUUAAAACUCAAAUGAAUUGAC
rnacentral:rRNA from 1 species